rnacentral:sRNA from 1 species
GGUCAUGCGGUGGUCUGGCUUUGGCAUCUGUCACUGCUUGCAGCAAGGUUGAUUCACUCAUUUGGCUGGUUGAGAAGGUAGCCCCUUCCUCCCUCACUGCUCUGCGUGUGGUGCUAAUUUAGUCAAGGAAGUUGACCUUGAAGCUCUGUCUGGACUCUUCCCUCAGUCAAGGGUAUCUGCAGAGCUGAGUCAUUUGGAAAAACUCCGAAUAUUGGAUUGCAGUGUAAAGCAGCCAAAACACAUGCCUUUUUUU